rnacentral:rRNA from 1 species
GAGGAAUAUUGGUCAAUGGACGCAAGUCUGAACCAGCCAAGUAGCGUGCAGGAUGACGGCCCUAUGGGUUGUAAACUGCUUUUAUGUGGGAAUAAAGUGGCGCACGUGUGCGCCAUUGCAUGUACCUCAUGAAUAAGGACCGGCUAAUUCCGUGCCAGCAGCCGCGGUAAUACGGAAGGUCCGGGCGUUAUCCGGAUUUAUUGGGUUUAAAGGGAGUGUAGGCGGUCUGUUAAGCGUGUUGUGAAAUUUAGGUGCUCAACAUUUAACUUGCAGCGCGAACUGUCAGACUUGAGUACACGCAGCGCAGGCGGAAUUCAUGGUGUAGCGGUGAAAUGCUUAGAUAUCAUGAGGAACUCCGAUCGCGAAGGCAGCCUGCGGGAGUGUUACUGACGCUUAAGCUCGAAGGUGCGGGUAUCGAACAGGAUUAGAUACCCUGGUAGUCCGCACAGUAAACGAUGUCGAUUAGCUGUUGGGCAGCUUGACUGCUUAGUAGCGAAGCUAACGCGUGAAAUCGACCGCCUGGGGAGUACGGUCGCAAGAUUA